UACGUAGGGUGCGAGCGUUGCCCGGAUUUAUUGGGCGUAAAGGGCGCGUAGGCGGUGCCGUACGUCCGUUGUGAAAUCGCUCGGCUCAACUGGGCGGGGUCAGCGGAUACGGUGGCACUUGAGCAAGCUAGGGGGCAAUGGAAUUCCCGGUGUAGUGGUGGAAUGCGUAGAUAUCGGGAGGAACACCGAUGGCGAAGGCAAUCCCCUGGGCCUGCACUGACGCUCAUGCACGAAAGCGUGGGGGAGCAAACAGG
rnacentral:rRNA from 1 species